rnacentral:rRNA from 1 species
UACGAAGGGGGCUAGCGUUGCUCGGAAUCACUGGGCGUAAAGCGCACGUAGGCGGAUCGUUAAGUCGGAGGUGAAAUCCUGGAGCUCAACUCCAGAACUGCCUUCGAUACUGGCGAUCUUGGAGUCCGGGAGAGGUGAGUGGAACUCCGAGUGUAGAGGUGAAAUUCGUAGAUAUUCGGAAGAACACCGGUGGCGAAGGCGGCUCACUGGCCCGGUACUGACGCUGAGGUGCGAAAGCGUGGGGAGCAAACAGG